ensembl:lncRNA
CACCCAGCUGUUCUUGGUUUUGUUCUGACAUGAAUUGAAUCAGAGUGAGCCGAUGUUCUGAGCACAGACGGUCCAAUCCUGACCCAGGUGAGCCUCAGCCCAACAGUCCAAGCAGAGAGGCCUGUAACGCUUCAGCUUAUCACACAUUUGAUGUCCAUGUGUGACGACUGCAAGUGUCCAGAGUGAGGACAGACUGAGGGACCCACUGCUGCACAUCAUCUGUGAGGCUUUGCAGCCCUGAUGAUCCACCAGGACAAACUCGGCAGUGUGUGAGGAAGAGGAGGAGGAAGAGCCAGCAGCAGCUGACAGAUGGAGAGAAUAGACAGACUGUUCCCUGUUUGUGAAGGACUGCUAGGAAAGUUUAACAGAACUGUCUGUGCUGAAUCAGUCUUAUUAGGUAAUGUUCACAUAAUGUGAUCAUCCCAGUGUUUCCAGUGUGGGAGAAAGUACUCAGAGUACUCAGGGCCUUCAAGCUACACACUAUGAAAGGCAGCAACAAGUUUAAUGUUCAGAAACCUAAAGUCUGUAUCAGCAGCAGAAUGGAGCUAAAAUAAAUGUUGGUUUCAGUUCUAUGAAGCUUUGAGUAUUUUGGAUCAGUAGCUGCUGUGUUUGUUGCAUCAUAUUGCUGUAACUGUUUAUAUGCUUUAUAUAUUCUGAGCUAAGUUGAUCUAUAGUGUUACAUCAUAUUCUAUAAGGAUGUUAUGUGUUUGUAGACUUUCUGCCCAGUUUGACCCAUUUAGCAGACGUCAGCCUGUUUAAGGCUCUGAUGUCUAUUCGGUGUGACUUACAGCAGUUAUGACAUGGUCUGAUUUUCUCACCCA